GCUGGGUGUGGUGGCACACACCUGCAAUCCCAGCAGCUCAGGAGGCUGAGGCAGGAGGAUCAUGAGUUCAAAGCCAGUCUUAGCAAAAGUGAGGCCCUAAGCAACUCAGUGAGACCCUGUCUCUA
rnacentral:sRNA from 1 species